rnacentral:tRNA from 1 species
UUUGGUGAUUGAGGCUCUUCCUUUAGUGUGGGCACCGUCGGGGAAUG